UCGAUGCCUCGGUAGCUCAUUGGUAGAGCACCUGUAUAUAGUGAGCGAAAGCGCCUGGCAACAACUAUGUAGCAGGCGUUCACAGGUUCGAAUCCUGCCCGGUGGCUA